UUUGAUGGAAAACCAGCUGUCUCUGCCAAGCAAAUGUUGGACUUUUUGCCUGCACAGACCCAGCAUGAAGCACCCUAUUUGCUGACUAAUGCAUUGCUGUUGUUGGUGAUAGGAAUUCAGAGAAGAAAAAGAAAUUUAAGUGGUGGCUUGUGUGGCUCAGACCUCAUAUGACCCUGGUGUAACCAAUCAGAACACUGCUUCUCUCUGCCCAUAGCGAUGAUGCUUUCAAGGUCAGACAUGUGACUCAAGCAAUGAGGGGAUUUCCCCAGAUCCCUGGAAUGAUUACACUUUUGGCUGAGAUGGCUACACUUCAAGAAUGUAACCCCGGUGCUUCAGUGACAUGAGAAUACUGUGUGAGGAGGAGGCCAAUCCAGAGGAGAAAACAGCUGGAGAAAACAAGAAUCACUGACAUCAUUUGAGCCCCUGACAACAUCAUGAGCCAACUUUCCCCCUAAAUGUUUUAAUUACAUAAGUCAAUACAUUUCCUCUUUUUAAGCCAGUUUGGGUGGG